rnacentral:rRNA from 1 species
AUUGAACGCUGGCGGCAUGCCUUACACAUGCAAGUCGAACGGUAACAGGUCUUCGGAUGCUGACGAGUGGCGAACGGGUGCGUAAUACAUCGGAACGUGCCCCGACGUGGGGGAUAACGAGGCGAAAGCUUUGCUAAUACCGCAUACGAUCUAAGGAUGAAAGCAGGGGACCGCAAGGCCUUGUGCGUUUGGAGCGGCCGAUGGCAGAUUAGGUAGUUGGUGGGAUAAAAGCUUACCAAGCCGACGAUCUGUAGCUGGUCUGAGAGGACGACCAGCCACACUGGGACUGAGACACGGCCCAGACUCCUACGGGAGGCAGCAGUGGGGAAUUUUGGACAAUGGGCGAAAGCCUGAUCCAGCAAUGCCGCGUGCAGGAUGAAGGCCUUCGGGUUGUAAACUGCUUUUGUACGGAACGAAAAGGCUCUGGCUAAUACCUGGGGCACAUGACGGUACCGUAAGAAUAAGCACCGGCUAACUACGUG